GACAGCUCCUCAUCUCCUUCGUCUUCAUCUUCACGUGCAUGUCGGGGUUGAUAGCCAUAAUCAUCUUCACAUGUACGUCUCCAAAAUUUGAUCUUCGGGUUGAGUAUAUAAACAUAAAAAAUUAAUAAUUUAAACAACAUAAUAAUUAACUAUUUAAAAUUAAAUAAUUUAAUAAAAUUUCUUACCAUUUCUAAUUGAACACCGGAGAUAUGCUUUUCAUCCAA
rnacentral:lncRNA from 1 species